GUGGCAUUAUUGCUCUCUCACUCUCUGGGCUCCAAUCUCAACUUAUCUUUGAUCAUUCCUCUUCCGUAGCCCACUUCUAAGCAGCUCCUCCCCGCCACACCUUGCUCAGAGAAGUAAGCCCUAGCCUUUCCUUGAGCAUAAAUUGAAGGGCGGUAGCAGGUAUAAGCCUGGGGUCACACAUUCCAACAGGAUUCCAUCACGGGUGCAUCUGACCCACCACAAAAGGGAAGAGAGAACACGAUGAAUAUCUUUUGUUUUGGCCUGCCCAGUGUCCCUUCUUCUAGUAAUGGAAUCAUCUCUUCAUUUGGAGAAGACAACCCUCCCCCAUUAUCCAUCCACAGUUUUCAAGUGGGGCUGACUCACUUCCCAGCUCCAAAAGCCUGGGCACCUGAAUCAGGCCAGACUAAUCAGAGUCAGAGAGAGUGGACCAGGAAUGGACAUGUGACUCAAUCUAGGCCAAUGGAAAUCAUUCCAGGUACUUUUGUGGAACAGAGUGGGAAGAGAUUCUCCCUUUUUUUUAAAUAAUUUUUUCUUUUCUCCUCAAAGCCCCAGUACAUAGUUGUAUAUCCUACUUGUAAGUCCUUCUAGUUCUUCUAUGUGGGAUGCUCCCUCAGCAUGGCUUGAUGAGCAGUGUGUAGGUCCAUGCCCAGGAUCCGAACCAGUGAACCCCGGGCUGCCAAAGCGGAGUGUGCGAACUCAGCCACUAUGCCACCACACUGCCCUGAGACUCUCCCUUUUAUAGUUGAUGGAAAAUAAUUGUGAAACUGCUGAUGGCUAUUUCUGUCGUGACUUGGGAGGCUGCUAGCUGAGAAUAAGGACCAGACAGAAGAGAGAUGGAACACUGAAGACAUCUUUGACUAUCUAGAUCCAACCGUGUUUGAAGCCAAACAACCCCUACACUUACACACGUGAUGGGAGUAUACUUCCAUAUCCUCUUUGAACAACCAGCGGUACUCCAGUUGGUGUUUCUCACGUCAGCCUGGUGUCCAGAGUGAGAGUAACGUGGAACAGAGCCCCCAGCUGACCUGUGACGGACACAUAGCAUGAGAAAGAAAUAAACCUUAUUUUUUUCAACUACUGAGAUUUUGGAGUUUUUUGUUCCCACAGCUUAAUUUAGGCCAUCCUGACCAACUCUAAUGCUGACUAGUUUAGAGAGGAAAGGGAUUGUUGGUUUCUUAAUCUCUGUGUCGUUGUAUAUAGCACAACAAUGUGAAUGUAUUUAAUGCCACUGAACUAUACUCUUAAAAAAGGGUAAAAUGGUCAAUUUUAUGCUAAAUAUAUUUUACCUAAAUAAAAAAAAUAUCAUCAGCAGGCAAUCAGAUGUUUAUUAGGGGCCUAGGAGGUAAUUCUAUGUAAAUGGCUUUGAUGGCCAAAAACAUAUUCUUUCUUGCAUUCAUUCGGCAAACCUUUACUGAGCACCGCCUCUGUGUCCAUCACCAUGCUA
rnacentral:lncRNA from 1 species